rnacentral:rRNA from 1 species
CCUACGGGAGGCAGCAGUGGGGAAUAUUGCACAAUGGGCGAAAGCCUGAUGCAGCGACGCCGCGUGAGGGAUGACGGCCUUCGGGUUGUAAACCUCUUUCAGCAGGGAAGAAGCGAAAGUGACGGUACCUGCAGAAGAAGCGCCGGCUAACUACGUGCCAGCAGCCGCGGUAAUACGUAGGGCGCAAGCGUUGUCCGGAAUUAUUGGGCGUAAAGAGCUCGUAGGCGGUUUGUCACGUCGGGUGUGAAAGCCCGGGGCUUAACCCCGGGUCUGCAUUCGAUACGGGCAGACUAGAGUGUGGUAGGGGAGAUCGGAAUUCCUGGUGUAGCGGUGAAAUGCGCAGAUAUCAGGAGGAACACCGGUGGCGAAGGCGGAUCUCUGGGCCAUUACUGACGCUGAGGAGCGAAAGCGUGGGGAGCGAACAGGAUUAGAUACCCUGGUAGUCCACGCCGUAAACGUUGGGAACUAGGUGUUGGCGACAUUCCACGUCGUCGGUGCCGCAGCUAACGCAUUAAGUUCCCGCCUGGGGAGUACGGCCGCAAGGCUAAACUUAAAGGAAUUGACGGCGUGNGAGUUGCGACGACGACGACGAGGGAGGAGG